GACGAACGCUGGCGGCGUGCUUAACACAUGCAAGUCGAACGGAAAGGCCCUGCUUUUGUGGUGUGCUCGAGUGGCGAACGGGUGAGUAACACGUGAGUAACCUGCCCUUGACUUUGGUAUAACUUCAGGAAACUGGGGCUACUACCGGAUAGGAGCUCCUGCUGCAUGGUGGGGGUUGGAACGUUUCGGCGGUUGGGGAUGGACUCGCGGCUUAUCAGCUUGUUGGUGGGGUAGUGGCUUACCAAGGCUUUGACGGGUAGCCGGCCUGAGAGGGUGACCGGCCACAUGGGGACUAAGAGACGGCCCAGACGCCUACGGGAGGCAGCAGGGGGGAAUAUUGCACAAUGGGAGGAAGCCUGAUGCAGAAACGCCGCGUGCGGGAUGACGGCCUUCGGGUUGUAAAACGCUUUAGCCUGUGACGAAGCGUGAGUGACGGUAAUGGGUAAAGAAGCACCGGCUAACUACGUG
rnacentral:rRNA from 1 species